rnacentral:misc_RNA from 1 species
GAAAUGCGAUAAGUAAUGUGAAUUGCAGAAUUCAGUGAAUCAUCGAAUCUUUGAACGCACAUUGCGCCCGCCAGUAUUCUGGCGGGCAUGCCUGUUCGAGCGUCAUUACAACCCUCAGGCCCCCGGGCCUGGCGUUGGGGAUCGGCGGAAGCCCCCUGCGGGCAAAACGCCGUCCCCCAAAUACAGUGGCGGUCCCGCCGCAGCUUCCAUUGCGUAGUAGCUAACACCUCGCAACUGGAGAGCGGCGCGGCCACGCCGUAAAACACCCAACUUCUGAAUGUUGACCUCGCAUCAGGUAGGAAUACCCGCUGAACUUAAGC